AUUGAACGCUGGCGGCAGGCCUAACACAUGCAAGUCGAACGAGUGGCGGACGGGUGAGUAAUGUCUGGGAAACUGCCUGAUGGAGGGGGAUAACUACUGGAAACGGUAGCUAAUACCGCAUACCAUCAGAUGUGCCCAGAUGGGAUUAGCUAGUUGGUGGGGUAAAGGCUCACCUAGGCGACGAUCCCUAGCUGGUCUGAGAGGAUGACCAGCCACACUGGAACUGUGACACGGUCCAUAUUCCUACGGGAGGCAGCAGUGGGGAAUAUUGCACAAUGGGCGCAAGCCUGAUGCAGCCAUGCCGCGUGUAUGAAGAAGGCCUUCGGGUUGUAAAGCACUUUCAGCGAGGAGGCGUUACUCGCAGAAGAAGCACCGGCUAACUCCGUGCCAGCAGCCGCGGUAAUUC
rnacentral:rRNA from 1 species